AACGAACGCUGGCGGCAUGCCUAACACAUGCAAGUCGAACGAAUGGUUUCGGCCAUUAGUGGCGCACGGGUGAGUAACGCGUGGGAAUCUGCCCAGCAGUGGGGGAUAACCUCUGGAAACGGAGGCUAAUACCGCAUACGCCCCUCGGGGAAAGGCUUGCUGCUGCUGGAGGAGCCCGCGUCGGAUUAGGUAGUUGGUGGGGUAACGGCCUACCAAGCCUGUGAUCCGUAGCUGGUCUGAGAGGAUGAUCAGCCACACUGGGACUGAGACACGGCCCAGACUCCUACGGGAGGCAGCAGUGGGGAAUAUUGGACAAUGGGCGCAAGCCUGAUCCAGCAAUGCCGCGUGAGUGAUGAAGGCCUGGUGUAAGCUCUUCGUCCACGACGACUGAUGACGGUAGUGGGAGAAGAAGACCCGGCGUAACUUCGUGCCAGCAGCCGCGGUAAUGUCUGUACU
rnacentral:rRNA from 1 species